rnacentral:rRNA from 1 species
GACGGACGCUGGCGGCGUGCUUAACAUAUGCAAGUCGAACGGAAAGGCCCCAGCUUGCUGGGGUACUCGAGUGGCGAACGGGUGAGUAACACGUGGGUGAUCUGCCCUGCACUCUGGGAUAAGUCUGGGAAACUGGGUCUAAUACCGGAUAGGACCGUGCUUUAGUGUGUGCGGUGGAAAGUUUUUCGGUGCAGGAUGAGCCCGCGGCCUAUCAGCUUGUUGGUGGGGUAAUGGCCUACCAAGGCGGCGACGGGUAGCCGGCCUGAGAGGGUGUACGGCCACAUUGGGACUGAGACACGGCCCAGACUCCUACGGGAGGCAGCAGUGGGGAAUAUUGCACAAUGGGCGCAAGCCUGAUGCAGCGACGCCGCGUGGGGGAUGACGGCCUUCGGGUUGUAAACCCCUUUCGGCAGGGACGAAGCUUUUGUGACGGUACCUGCAUAAGAAGCACCGGCUAACUACGUG